AGGAAAGUCACCAGGCACCUAGUCCAGUUUCAUUGAAAUGAAGAGUCUUUCAACGCAUUUUGUUGGACAUUGAAUCUGGACAUUGAAGUCCAAGUUGCUGUCAGAGAAGGCCUGGAGUAGGUGUGCCCAGGUGUCAAGAUAUAACUGAUAUGAAAAUUCUUCUUCUUCCUGUGGCCACCUCGUUUGCUAAAACACUUAAGAAAUCUGAUAAAACACCUGUUGUUCAGGACCUCUGCCUCAUUCAGUGCACCAGAUGGACCUGCUCACAGGAUGAAUCAGGAAUGUGUGGUGAAGGAAGCUAUUGUCUGUAGGACUCCUGCCUCAUAAUUAUUUUGUGUGUGGUUUCCUAGGGUUUUUAAAAAACAAACUGAAAAACAAAACAAAACAGUAAUUUCAUCAUGCGGUAAUACACUGACACCAACUGUUUCAUCAGCAGGGUUGGAACCUUUAGAUUCACUGCGCAGACCUCUGCAACUUCAGCUUAUAGAGUAACUGACAGCAAUAGUAGUUUGUUAUCCUCUAUGUAGACUGGUAUAGUGGGGGAAGAGAACCACACUUUGCAAGUGGGUUUCACAGAUAUUUUCUGGCAGCAGUGGAGUGGUGAGACUCAGGAAUCUUGGGUUGCACUCCAGGCUCUGGAAGGGCACAGCUAGUGGGCACAGCUAGAUCCUUUCUGCCCAGCCCCUCCAACCUGUCUCAGUCUUGUCUGUUCCCCAAACCUGGCUCCUUGUUCCAGUCCUGUUCUCUUUGCCCACCCAGUCCCAGUUUCCAUUACUCAGGCUUCUCAUCCCAGUCUCCUUGCCCAGCCAAUCCAGUCUAUUCCUCCAGGCUAACUGUCCUAAUCUCCCCCAACUCUGCCACUCAUAGUUUCUGCCCUCACCUCCUCCCCCACACCUACCUACCCACCUAUUGCCAGUUUUAGUUCCUUGUUCGA